UACGUAGGGGGCAAGCGUUGUCCGGAUUUAUUGGGCGUAAAGAGCGUGUAGGCGGCCCGACAGGUCCGUUGUGAAAACUCGAGGCUCAACCUCGAGACGUCGAUGGAAACCGUCGGGCUAGAGUCCGGAAGAGGAGAGUGGAAUUCCUGGUGUAGCGGUGAAAUGCGCAGAUAUCAGGAGGAACACCCGUGGCGAAAGCGGCUCUCUGGGACGGUACUGACACUGAGAGACGAAAGCCAGGGGAGCAAACGGG
rnacentral:rRNA from 1 species